rnacentral:lncRNA from 1 species
GUAUGAGAACUAUAUUAAAAAUAUAAAAUAAAUACGUAUCCAACUUGAGAUCUUGAAUAUCAACAAUAUAUAAAAAAUCUUAUAUAUACAUCUGUAUAUAGAUAUAGAGUUGGGCCGAAAUAAUAUUAAUGAUAUUUAAAUUUUUUUACUACCUAGUUUUUAAUCUUCGGAUGGAAAAUUAUAGAGUUGGGAUGAUAGUAGUAUUCUUUAGAGUUGAGUCGAGAUUCUUUUAUUAGGGUUUAGUAUCAAAGGAGUAGAUCUAACAUCUAAAAAUUAGAUAGCAAAAAGAUCCAAAUACUAUAAAUAAUAUUCCAGCUUAACUCUAUAGAUAUAAAUAAAUCUUCAAUCUUUUGCAAUUGGGGGUUCACACUAACUCUUUCAGGCUUUUAGUUACAAUAAUAAUAAUAAGACUGACUGUAUUUAGUGCAGUUGGCUAACGACUUGAUGAUUUGGUACCCAAGAUUUCAAGUUCGAAGUCUAAUUAUUCCAUAUUUAUUAGUAAGUUUCUUAAAAAAAAAACACAAAACAGAUAGUUUUAUGCUCAUAAGUUUUUAGAUGAAUAAAAUAUAAAUAUAUAUGUGUCUUUCCUUUAAAUUAAAAUUGGAGGUAAUAAAUAUCAUUAAUCACUUGAAAAUUCGCUAGCGGCCAUUUUUGUUAAUAUCGUUCUAUGAGAUUGCAACGAUCCGAUUCGCCAGCAACAAUAACUCGUUAGGCCCAAAUCACUGACCAAAUAUAUUUAAGUCCAGUUAUUAUUACUAGCGUGUAGACAUCAUAUAAGCUAAUUGGAAUCAGUAUCCCAUCCGAUGUGGGACUUUUGGAGCGUUGCAAACUCCCCUGAUGUCUUCAUAGGGCCCAAACCAGUCCAAAUCAGACCACAGGCAGAUAGAUUAGAACCAAAAUUGCCAGGAGAUGUGAGAUUCAAGAUGCGGCUUCUACGGAUUCAAGAGGUGGCUCUCACUAAAUUCGUUAGUGUAGCACUUUGUUCGGCAUAGCACCUAACUCUCACACUUUCGGCUGGUAUUCGGCUCAGAUACCAAUUGCAACGACCCAGCCCGCCAACAACAAUAACUCGUUAGACCCAAACCACCGGCCCAAUAUAUUUAAGCCCAGUUAUUAUUACUAGCGUGUAGACCUCAUAUAAACUUAUCAGAAUCAGUAUCUCAUCCGAUAUAGAACUAUUUCCGAUGUGGGACUAUUGCGGAUUCAAUUCUCACCUUCAAUAUUUAACACAUUAAAUUUAUAUCUUUUACCUUACCUAUCGAUCUCAUAUGUCUUUUAUAUCUAUCAUACACGUGAACGAGAGUGUUAAUAUAUAUUCCCGAGAUAGUUUUUUUAGUAAAUCACUAGUGAUUUGAUGUG